GCAAUCUUAGCUAAAGAGUCUGAAAUUAAAUUUUGUACCAUAAGGAUAUGAGAUAUCAUGAAAUCCGGAAAACAUAUCUUUAGUGUCUUUAUCGCCUCCAACUCAGUUGCAAAACUUGGCCAAACUUGAGGCUCUUUUAUCAUCGCGAUCAAAUUCUUACAAUAUGUCCUAAAGCUCUGACAUGAUGUAUGUUGUAGCAUGAUCUCCAUCGCCAUCGCAUUCCUUCCACUUCCGAAUGUAAAGCAGUCUCUCUCGCUUUCUUAAAUUUUGCAUCCCCAUAAGUUGAAUAUUUCCCAUGUUAUCCUUCCAAACCAAAAUUAGAUAGGGCUUAUGGAACUACAUUAUUUGAUGUUUAUAAAUAUACAUAAUCAGAUGGUGUUUUCUAUGCUUCUUUCUUGCAUUCUUGGGUUUCUAUUAUUUCUUUUCAUGCUUGUCAAACCAUACUGCUCGCUUAUUUCUGAACAUGUACAUUGUUUUUACCUUUUAACAAAAAAAUAAUUAUAGUCAGCUAACAAGUUAACCACAUGGGUGUGUUCGGAUGGCGCAUGAAAUCCCAAGUGUCCCUAAGGGACUUGGGUUCGAAUCUGUGCCAACUCAGAUUUAUCCAUCCAUGUGACCAGGUGACAUGCGUAUCUAAUUCCCCUUGCAAACAAUCGGGUCUGGCUGGUGCUAGUGGUCAGGCUCCCAAAGAAUCAGUCGGUUGGGUCUCAAUCCGCCGGAUAUUCCGGAUUAUCAGAAAAAAAGUUACAUCAUUCAAGUGUCUGAAACACAUAAUAUUAAUAUGAAAUUUGUUUCCCCUGUCUAAUACGUUGUUUCUAAGGAAACUUGAUUUUAAUUAUGAAGAUUUAUUUUUUGUUUGCCUGCUUUGUAUCUUAAAAUGUUUUUUUUUUUUGUUUCAAUACACAUUUCAGGUGGUAAAAGGAGAAAGAAAAGUGGACUUUUUGCAAAAUUGACCUACAACUUAAAGUCAAACACAAAACUAACCUCCCUUUUUUUUUGAAAAUUGGUUUUGCCCUAUUCACCCCACAAGUUCAUAUUAUUUACGAAAAUGCCAUCAAUUUUUUCUUUUUUUUUUUGAAAAUGACAUCUUUACUCUCUCACCCUCAUCAUCUUCAAGUAAUUACAAGAUUGUCAUUGUCAUCAAUACCACAACCACCAUGAACAACCAAUUUGAAGUUCUUAAUGCUCCCAAAAUCGAUUUAUCCUUCUUCUUUUUCCAUUCUUGUGAACUAAACACAACAUAUCUCUCACUUUCUCUCCACAAUGAGCUAAAAAAACCCAAGAUUUUGAUUCUAAAAUUUGUAUGGUUCAUAGAGUCAUAGAAGCUAACGAUUCUGGGUGGGUGACUUUCGUUUGUGAUUCUAUGUGCUUG
rnacentral:lncRNA from 1 species